rnacentral:rRNA from 1 species
CGCCAAUUACCUUCCCAACCCGUGCGCCCCACGGGCAACCUCCUCGGCACACCACAGAGCCCGCACCGCCGGCUAGCCACCGCGCCGCCACUCCCCCACCCCAUCUCCAUCGCCACCGUCCCUCCCAACGCCUACCACCCCCCAAAUCCCGGUGAUGGCCUCCCAACUCAUCCCCUUAUCCAACGCUCGCGCGACGGCCUUGCAUCAUCGUUCCCUGCGGCCACGGUUCGAGCUCGCGGUCCCGUCCCCAGUCCGAGUUGCCGCGCGCCUCCUGCCUUCCUCGCCGAGCGGCCACCGACAACCUCCACCUAUGCAUUGGAUUUAUCCUCCCGCAUCGCCGUGGAUCGGGGGAAGAGGAAGGUCGAGGUCGCCAACCGCACCGUCUUCCUCGGGUGCCGGGGAUGCUUCACCGUGCACCCGAUGUGUCCCCAAUGUGGACUGUGUGGGAGCAGGGGGAGGAGGUGCCACAGACUCGCCCUCCCUUCGUCGCGCCCAGCUACGACGUCCACCACCGCCGCUCCAUUGUCCCUUCCUUCGCCUGCCCGUGGAUGCGGCACGAUUCACAUAUCUAGUGCGAAUGGCUCCCAGAAGAAAAACACACCGGCGAGAGAGGCCCACGAGUCGGCUUGUCGAUGGGCGACUGUAUGUUCUUCAACCCGGGUUCUACAGGAUCCGACGGGGGUGCCAGAGUGUGCCGUACGCUGCCGGAGUGUGCAGUAUGCUCGGGCUCCCGACGCGGUUCAGUCCCAGCGGUGCUGCAGUGCGGCCGCACCUGGAGUCCCUUGCCGCCUUGCCGCCGUCUCCAGGCCGCGACGGUCCUCCCGCGACGCCCCGGAUCCAGGCCGCCCCCCCCACAACACCCUGGCACCAGCCGCCAUGAGCCUCCUCCACCCCCCUGGACCAGCCCUCCCUCCAGCCUCCUCCUCAGACGGUGUGCUGGAUGGCCGGCUCAUCGCCCUGCUGCCUUCUUCCUUCAGCGUCGGCCUCCGUGGUGCAGUCCGGCGUCCGUGGAACGUGCAGCUCGCUAGCUCGUUGCAUGCGGUUUCGGCAGUGCAGGCAAGCAAUACACGGCCAUGCCCGCGUCCAAGUGGUGCAGAUUGGUGCCUGUGUCCAUGCACUUCGUAGGUGUAUUCGGGAACAAACAACAAAAAAGUUUGGUCUCCGACGAGCGCCUUGGACAUCUCCCGUAUUUCGUUCCUUGCCUGGGUUACCAUUUUAGUUUUGGUCAGGUAUGAUGCUCACUUGUUUGAGUGAAACCGUGCAGUCCUGCAACUGCAGCUGCGCAGUCCGUAAAUCGCGGCCCUGAAGUUAAGCUCAGUGUUCUGUGCAGUCGACUUCAUGAGCAGUACGCGGGUGGUUCCAUGAGGUGUCGUGCCCUUGUGCGUGCAGUUCGCGUGGCACGGAGAGCCUGUGCAUGCACAAACGUGGCCGCCGGGAGGCGCACAAGGAGGGCGACGACAGCGAAGCCCCCACCUCUAGGAGAUUGAGAAACGAAGGACUUUGCUAGCAAUCUCGUCUACUAAUCCGUGUCAGCAAGAUUUUUAGCAUUAUUUUUUUGCAUGUUCCCCUCGGUUCACUAUUUUGGUUUGGGUAGAAAAAAUGUUAAGUAUAGGGCGGUUCAUAGUUUUCUCUUGUAUAGUGUGCAGCGGUUCAUUUGUCCGUGCACGGCGGUUUGAUAUGUUUUAUUUGAUGUAAAAUAAAGAUAACAGGCAAACAACUAGUAGUUUGUGGUUUAUUUUUUCAUGCUAUAAACUCCUCGCUGUUGGUGGUUGUAACACCCCGGAUGUAACUUACCAUAUUUGUAAC